AAAACAUAAAGCAUCAUAAUCUUCUUUUCUUUUGGAAUCUUCUUCCAGCUGUCUACGUACAGCGUCUGAUCCCUCGGUGUCUUCUUCUAGUCCUUCAUAUUCAAAUCUUUCAACUCUUCAACCAACUCUUCAACCUUUUGUAUUUUUACAUCAAUUUUCCUUUGUUUCUUUACCUUACGUUUCUCUUUUCUUAUUUACUCUUUUCUUUUCUUUUUUCCGGGUCCGGAGACACGCCCACUGCUGCUGAGCUGAGCAUCGACAUGGCACACACCUGUGCCACAUAAUUAGUGCAGCAUGCUAGUGGCUUUAUAAAAAGCACAUUGGAGUGGGGCUGUUUAUUUCUCUUCCGUGUGCAUCUUGUGUUGGCAGAAAAGGUCUUUUGGCUAUAUUUUCCUGUCGCUUUCCCCUGGUGCGGCCAAAGAGCGCUAGCUGCUGUUUCUAAUGUCUGUUUCUAGCUGUUGUUUCUAGCUGCUGUUUCUAAUGGCCGUUUUAUUACGGCUAUUUUCUUAGUUGCUGUUCUGAUUAUUGCUGUUUGUUUUAUGUAUAUUUUUCAGAGCUGUUUUAAACUUGACUCGUUAUUAUUAUUAUUAUUAUUAUUAUUAUUAUUUUUCUUUUGCGUCUUUUGUUUGAGUGUCUGUUUACCGCAUAUACAUCCACCUCUGACUAUCGGACAACGAACUGUGAUUAGUGAGGCUUAACAGAGGGAUUGUAUGUUUGUCGUCCUUUUGGUUUAUCCCUUUUUUCUUGGGUUAUCAGUGUUUAUUAUGCGCUGCUUUGUGUGGUUUGUCUCUCUUUGUUAAGGCGGACCUAGUCUAGUUAUUUUCUCCAUUGUUGGUAACUAAUCGGUAAACUGUACACUUAUCUUAAUGUUUUUAAGAGCAAAUGAUUUUCCUUUUUUUUUUUUGUAAAAUAAAGUUGUACUCAUAUUUAUUGGAAA